UACGUAGGGUGCAAGCGUUAAUCGGAAUUACUGGGCGUAAAGCGUGCGCAGGCGGCUUUGCAAGACAGAUGUGAAAUCCCCGGGCUCAACCUGGGAACUGCAUUUGUGACUGCAAGGCUAGAGUACGGUAGAGGGGGAUGGAAUUCCGCGUGUAGCAGUGAGAUGCAUAGAUAUGCGGAGGAACACCGAUGGCGAAGGCAAUCCCCUGGACCUGUACUGACGCUCAUGCACGAAAGCGUGGGGAGCAAACAGG
rnacentral:rRNA from 1 species